rnacentral:rRNA from 1 species
AACGAACGCUGGCGGCAUGCCUAACACAUGCAAGUCGAACGAGACCUUCGGGUCUAGUGGCGCACGGGUGCGUAACGCGUGGGAACCUGCCCUUAGGUUCGGAAUAACUCCCCGAAAGGGGUGCUAAUACCGGAUAAUGUCUUCGGACCAACGAUUUAUCGCCUUUGGAUGGGCCCGCGUUGGAUUAGCUAGUUGGUAGGGUAAAAGCCUACCAAGGCGACGAUCCAUAGCUGGUCUGAGAGGAUGAUCAGCCACACUGGGACUGAGACACGGCCCAGACUCCUACGGGAGGCAGCAGAGGGUAAUAUUGUACAAUGGGCGCAAGUCUGAUCCAGCAAUGCCGCGUGAGUGAUGAAGGCCUUAGGGUUGUAAAGCCCUUUUACCCGGGAUGAUAAUGACAGUACCGGGAGAAUAAGCUCCGGCUAACUCCGUG